ACCGCCACACCCAGCUAAUUUUUGUAUUUUUAGUAGAGAUGGGGUUUCACCAUGUUGGCAGGCUGGUCUUGAACUGACCUCAAGGCCCGCCUCAGUCUCCCAAAGUGCUGGGAUUACACACUUGAGCCACCAUACCCAGCUGAGACCUAUUUAUUUAGGUCUUGAAUUUCUUUCAACAGUUUUGUAGUUUUCAAUCUACAAGUGUUCGCAGAUUUGAAAAUUUAUUAUUAAAAUGGUAAUACUUCCCAGAGCAACCUAUAGAUUCCAUACAAUUCCUAUUAAAAUUCCAUUAUCCUUUUUUUUGCAGAAAUGGCCAAGAAAAAUUCAUAAGGAAUUGCGAAAGAUCGUGAAUAGCAAAAACAAUCUUGAAAAAGCUACAGUAAUCAAGACAAUGUGAUAAUGACAUAGGAUAGACAUAGAAAUCAAUGGGAUAGAAUUGAGAGUCUGGAUAUAAACCCAAGCAAAUAUGGUCAAUUGGUUUUCAACAAGGGUGCCAAGACCAUUCAAUGGGGGAAAAAUAGUCUUUUCAACAAACGGUGCUGGGACAACUUAGAUAUCCACAUGCAAAGUAAUAAAUUAGGAACACUGUCUCAUACUGUAGGUAAAAAUUAAAAUGGACCAAAGACCUAAAUGUAAGCUAAAACUAAAAAGCUCUUAGAGCAUAAGGAGAAAUCUUUGUGACCUUGGAUUAAGCAACAGUUUCUUAAAUAUGACACCAAUGCACAAGCAAGCAAAAGAAAUAAGUUGGUCUUUGUCAAAAUUUAAAACUCUUGGCUAGGUGUGGUGGCUCACACCUGUAAUUCCAGCACUUUGGGAGCCAGAGGCAGGUAGAUCAUCUGAGGUCAGGAGUUUGAGACCAGCCUGGCCAACAUGGUGAAACCCAUCUCUACCAAAAAUAUGAAAAAUUAGCCAGGUGUGGUGGCAUUUGCCUGUAAUUCCAGCUACUCGGGAGGCUGAGGCCUGAGACUGACUAAAAAAUCUCGGCAAAGAUGUGGACAAAUAAAAAUCCUCACACACUGCUAGUGCAAACAUAAAGUGGCACAGCUGCUUUGGAAAAGCUUGGCAGUUCCUCAAGUAGUUAAACGUAAGAGUUAUCAGGACCUAGCAAUUCCGCUACUAGGUGUAUAACCAAGAGAAUGAAAAAGAAGUGUUCACACAAAAACUUGUACAUGCAUAUUGAUAGCAACAAUAUUUAUAAUAGCCAAGAAGUAGAAGCACUCCAAACGUCCAUCAACUGAUAAACGGAUAAACAAAAUGUGGUUUAUUCCUGUUAGAUAUGUUAACUAUCUUGACUGUGGUAAUAAUUUUAUUGAUACAUAUAUAUAUGUCACGCUUUAUCGAAUUGUGUAUUUUAAAUAUCUGUGGUUUAUUGCAUGCCAAUCAUAACUCAAGCUGUAAAAACAGAAAGUA